AGAGUUUGAUCAUGGCUCAGGAUGAACGCUAGCUACAGGCUUAACACAUGCAAGUCGAGGGGCAGCAUGUUGGUUGCUUGCAACCAAUGAUGGCGACCGGCGCACGGGUGAGUAACGCGUAUCCAACCUACCCUUGUCCAUCGGAUAACCCGUCGAAAGGCGGCCUAACACGAUAUGCGGUUCUCAGCAGGCAUCUAACGAGAACGAAAUGUGAAGGAGAAGGAUGGGGAUGCGUCUGAUUAGCUUGGUUGGCGGGGUAACGGCCACCAAGGCGACGAUCAGUAGGGGUUCUGAGAGGAAGGUCCCCCANAUUGGAACUGAGACACGGUCCAAACGUCCUACGGGAGGCA
rnacentral:rRNA from 1 species